rnacentral:rRNA from 1 species
AUUGAACGCUGGCGGCAGGCCUAACACAUGCAAGUCGAGCGAGCGGCGGACGGGUGAGUAAUGUCUGGGAAACUGCCUGAUGGAGGGGGAUAACUACUGGAAACGGUAGCUAAUCCCGCAUACCAUCAGAUGUGCCUAGUUGGGCUUAGCUAGUAUGUGGGGUAACGGCUCACCUAGGCAACGAUCCCUAGCUGGUCUGAGAGGAUGACCAGCCACACUGGAACUGAGACACGGUCCAGACUCCUACGGGAGGCAGCAGGGGGGAAUAUUGCACAAUGUGCGCAAGCCUGAUCCAGCCAUGCCGCGUGGGGUGAGAAUGCCUUCGGGUUGUAAAGCACUUUCGGCUGGGAGGCGUUACCCGCAGAAGAAGCACCGGCUAACUCCGUGCCAGCAGCCGCGGUAAUAC